rnacentral:rRNA from 1 species
CAAUAGCGUAUAUUAAAGUUGUUGCGGUUAAAAAGCUCGUAGUUGGAUUUCUGUUGGGAACGACCGGUCCGCCCAUUGGGUGUGUAUCUGGCUUGUUCUCGGCAUCUUCUUGGUGAACGUUGCUGCACUUGACUGUGUGGAGCGCUACCCAGGACUUUUACUUUGAGGAAAUUAGAGUGUUUCAAGCAGGCAUAUGCCUUGAAUACAUUAGCAUGGAAUAAUAAGAUAGGACCUCGGUUCUAUUUUGUUGGUUUCUAGAGCUGAGGUAAUGAUUAAUAGGGAUAGUUGGGGGCAUUCGUAUUUAACUGUCAGUGGUGAAAUUCUUGGAUUUGUUAAAGACGGACUACUGCGAAAGCAUUUGCCAAGGAUGUUUUCAUUGA